rnacentral:rRNA from 1 species
GAUGAACGCUGACAGAAUGCUUAACACAUGCAAGUCGAUUCGAUUUACCUUCGGGUAUUGAGGAUGGCGGACGGGUGAGUAACGCGUAAGGAACUUGCCUCUUGGUCUGGGACAACUGUUGGAAACGACAGCUAAUACCGGAUAUUAUGAGAUUCUCGCAUGGGAAACUUAUGAAAGCUAUAUGCGCCAAGAGAGAGCCUUGCGUUCCAUUAGCUAGUUGGUGGGGUAACGGCCCACCAAGGCGACGAUGGAUAGCCGGCCUGAGAGGGUGAACGGCCACAAGGGGACUGAGACACGGCCCUUACUCCUACGGGAGGCAGCAGUGGGGAAUAUUGGACAAUGGGCCACAAGCCUGAUCCAGCAAUUCUGUGUGCACGAUGAAGGUCUUCGGAUUGUAAAGUGCUUUCAGUUGGGAAGAAGAAAGUGACGGUACCAACAGAAGAAGCGACGGCUAAAUACGUGCCAGCAGCCGCGGUAAUACGUAUGUCGCAAGCGUUAUCCGGAUUUAUUGGGCGUAAAGCGCGUCUAGGCGGAAAAAUAAGUCUGAUGUUAAAAUGCGGGGCUCAACUCCGUAUUGCGUUGGAAACUGUUUUUCUAGAGUACUGGAGAGGUGGGCGGAACUACAAGUGUAGAGGUGAAAUUCGUAGAUAUUUGUAGGNNUGCCGAUGGAGAAGUCAGCUCACUGGACAGANACUGACGCUAAAGCGCGAAAGCGUGGGGAGCAAACAGGANUAGAUACCCUGGUAGUCCACGCCGUAAACGAUGAUCACUAG